rnacentral:rRNA from 1 species
GUGUCAGCAGCCGCGGUAAUACGGAGAGUGCAAACGUUGUUCGGAUUCACUGGGCGUAAAGGGCACGUAGGCGGCUCGGCAAAUCGGUCGUGGAAUCCCGACGCUUACCGUCGGAACGGCGGCCGAAAAUACCGGGCUCGAGGGCGUGAGGGGUCACUGGAACUCCUGGUGAAGCGGUGAAAUGCGUAGAUAUCAGGAGGAACGCCGGAGGCGAAAGCGAGUGACUGGCGCGUUCCUGACGCUGAGGUGCGAAAGCUAGGGGAGCAAACAGGAUUAGAAACCCCUGUAGUCC